rnacentral:rRNA from 1 species
GAUGAACGCUAGCGGCAGGCCUAACACAUGCAAGUCGAGGGGCAGCACAGGUAGCAAUACUGGGUGGCGACCGGCGGAUGGGUGCGUAACGCGUAUGCAACCUACCAUUGAUUGGGGCAUAGCCCGAAGAAAUUCGGAUUAAUACUCCAUAAUAUUCAUCAAAGGCAUCUUUUAUGAGUUAAAGCUUUUGCGAUCAAUGAUGGGCAUGCGUGACAUUAGUUAGUUGGUGAGGUAACGGCUCACCAAAACGAUGAUGUCUAGGGGUUCUGAGAGGAUUAUCCCCCACACUGGUACUGAGACACGGACCAGACUCCUACGGGAGGCAGCAGUGAGGAAUAUUGGUCAAUGGACGCAAGUCUGAACCAGCCAUGCCGCGUGCAGGAUGACGGCCCUAUGGGUUGUAAACUGCUUUUCCACGGGAAGAACCCUCCGACGUGUCGGAGACUGACGGUACCGUGGGAAUAAGCAUCGGCUAACUCCGUG